GAUGAACGCUGGCGGCGUGCCUAAUACAUGCAAGUCGAGCGAACGGACGAGAAGCUUGCUUCUCUGAUGUUAGCGGCGGACGGGUGAGUAACACGUGGAUAACCUACCUAUAAGACUGGGAUAACCUCGGGAAACCGUAGCUAAUACCGGAUAAUAUUUUGAACCGCAUGGUUCAAAAGUGAAAGACGGUCUUGCUGUCACUUAUAGAUGGAUCCGCGCUGCAUUAGCUAGUUGGUAAGGUAACGGCUUACCAAGGCAACGAUGCAUAGCCGACCUGGGAGGGUGAUCGGCCACACUGGAACUGAGACACGGUCCAGACUCCUACGGGAGGCAGCAGUAGGGAAUCUUCCGCAAUGGGCGAAAGCCUGACGGAGCAACGCCGCGUGAGUGAUGAAGGUCUUCGGAUCGUAAAACUCUGUUAUUAGGGAAGAACAUAUGUGUAAGUAACUGUGCACAUCUUGACGGUACCUAAUCAGAAAGCCACGGCUAACUACGU
rnacentral:rRNA from 1 species